rnacentral:rRNA from 1 species
UACGAAGGGGGCUAGCGUUGCUCGGAAUUACUGGGCGUAAAGCGUGCGCAGGCGGUUUUGUAAGUCUGACGUGAAAUCCCCGGGCUCAACCUGGGAAUUGCGUUGGAGACUGCAAGGCUGGAGUCUGGCAGAGGGGAGUAGAAUUCCACGUGUAGCAGUGAAAUGCGUAGAGAUGUGGAGGAACACCGAUGGCGAAGGCAGCCCCCUGGGUCAAGACUGACGCUCAUGCACGAAAGCGUGGGGAGCAAACAGG